AGAGUUUUGAUCAUGGCUCAGGAUGAACGCUAGCUACAGGCUUAACACAUGCAAGUCGAGGGGCAGCAGAUCGAAAGCUUGCUUUUGAUGCUGGCGACCGGCGCACGGGUGCGUAACACGUAUCCAAUCUACCCAUGGCUCAGGGAUAGCCUUUCGAAAGAAAGAUUAAUACCUGAUGGUCUCACAUGAAGACAUCUUUUUGUGAGUAAAGAUUUAUCGGCGAUGGAUGAGGAUGCGUCUGAUUAGAUAGUAGGCGGGGUAACGGCCCACCUAGUCGACGAUCAGUAGGGGUUCUGAGAGGAAGGUCCCCCACAUUGGAACUGAGACACGGUCCAAACUCC
rnacentral:rRNA from 1 species